rnacentral:rRNA from 1 species
GACGAACGCUGGCGGCGUGCUUAACACAUGCCAGUCGAACGGUGAAGCGCCUUCCUUUUUGGUGGGUGUGGAUGAGUGGCGAACGGGUGAGUAACACGUGAGUAACCUGCCCCCUUCUUCUGGAUAACCGCAUGAAAGUGUGGCUAAUACGGGAUAUUCUGGGUCUGUCGCAUGAUGGGUCUGGGAAAGAUAUUGUUUCGGUGGGGGAUGGGCUCGCGGCCUAUCAGCUUGUUGGUGGGGUGAUGGCCUACCAAGGCGGUGACGGGUAGCCGGCCUGAGAGGGUGGACGGGCACACUGGGACUGAGACACGGCCCAGACUCCUACGGGAGGCAGCAGUGGGGAAUAUUGGACAAUGGGCGCAAGCCUGAUGCAGCGACGCCGCGUGAGGGAUGGAGGCCUUCGGGUUGUGAACCUCUUUCGCCAGUGAAGCAGGCCUGCCUCGUUUGUGGGUGGGUUGACGGUAGCUGGAGAAGAAGCGCCGGCUAACUACGUG